GACCGCGUAGCUCAGUUGGAAGAGCAUUGGGCUAGUAUUCCAAAAGUCGUAGGUUCGAAUCCCGCCGUGGCCG